CUAUCUCUAAUGCGAUCAUGAAUUCAAAAAGUUUUAGUUGUAUGCUUGCGCGACACUAAUGGCUCAGGGGAACUUUUAUUGGCUGUUUCGUAAUAGAAGUCAACUCCAUCGAGCUCUCUCUCGUCUUUAGUGAUCAUGUUGUCUAAUAUUGUGCACGCCUUGAUAAUGUCUUCGAGGGUUUUACGUUCCCAAAAAACGAGCAGGUCCACAGAGAAUGACAAAAUGUGUUUGGAGUACUCCAAUGGCUCGCUCCACAUCUUCCUUGCCGACUCUUGAGCUUUGGCAAAAUCAAUUUGCUGAUUGCCUCACGGAGAUGGGUUUUUUUUUUUUUUGUACGAUUGUUGCCCGGGUUGGUAUAUAUCAUCGGCAACGAUGGUAAGAUAAAACCCAAAGUAUAAUCGUUGCCAUUGAUGGAGUAAUUGCAUAGAGUACGGCCUUCAGCAUGGAGAGCGGUCGAGAACCUUAAUGUCAUUACGAGAUCCUGGCAACCCAAAAAAGCAUAUGCCAUUUCCAUAUGCAUAAGAAGUCAUUUCCUCUAAUAUAAUAGUCAGCCCAUGGAUACGACUAUUGCACACACAUUUCGCCGUAGUUGGGCAAUUUUUCCACUUCCAUUGCAUGCUAUCAAUGCUUCUUAUCAUCCCAAGAAACCAAGCCUUCCACCCAAUGCUAGUAAUCUAGCAGUAGCAGUAUAUCAUCAACAUUUGGCGAGCUUAAGUACUCAAGUGACAAAAUUGCAAUUACUGCCUUAACAAACCUUUUUUACACACUCAAUUGCUGUGCUUUUGCCAAUUCUCAAGGAAUCAUCGAGGAAAUUCAUUGCUACUCCAUAAGUGAGCAUCUUCAUGGCAGCUGUCACCUCACUACAAGAAAUCAGGGCUUUCCCCGCACUCUCUUUCCAGCAUUUCCAAUAAACCCUGGUAAAGGUCAAUUUUUUUUAAAACAAAGACGUGUGGGGUGCUUUUCAAUUUCUCCAUCGCUUCUUAUCUUCCCUUCGGCGGCCAAGGCAGAGAAAACCCUAACCCCAAAGGAUAUACCGCUGCACCCCACCCCCACACCUCUCUCUCUCUCUCUCUCUCUCUCUCUCUCUCUCUCCUAUUUUCUCUUCGAUCGACACUCCACUGGUCUCUGGCCUCCUCGAUCUCACUCUACUGAGAAACUUCAGGAUCGACGUACCAUGUGUUCGGCUGUUCUAUCUCUACUGGUAUUUUCUCUCUCUCUGUCUCUCUCUCCCUCUCUGCGGUCGGCGGAUAUGCGGUAGUGAAGGAGUUGCGGGUUCAUGGAUGGCUGUUACGGAUCCGUGGUGUGGAAGCGAAGGACGGCCCAACCGGUUGUUGGUGCUCUCACUACCUAAAGGGUUCUGAAUCUAUCUCUCGUCCAUAUGAGCACUCUCUGUCUCUGGGGUUCUACGUUCCCCUCGCCACUGAGAUCUUCAGGGAAACAACUUGACUGGUCAAAUUUCAGAUGAGAUAGGCAACUGUGUUUCUCCGAUAUUACUGGACUAUCCACUAAUUUGUUACAUGAAGGCAUUCCAUUCUCAAUAUCUAAGCUUAAGCAGCUUGAGCUAUUGAAUUUGAAGAACAAUCAAUUGACUGGCCCUAUCCCUUCUACAUUGACGCAGAUUGCUGACUUGAAAACACCGUUUAGAAGCAAUCCAAUGUGGGAAUGCAUCCCCUGGCAUUCAAGUUCCACAAGAUGCAGAUGGACACUGACGAGAUUGGAUUCCUUCUUAUAGGCUAGUGGAAAACGAUUCAGGUACGUGCAGAAUAAUAAGUUAUUUGGAAAAGUGCCAUCAGGUCUUCUGGAUAAGAAUCUUGUUUUGAACUGCUCCUUGAUGUUCGCGCUUGGAAUAUUUUGUUGUUGGGAAGCUGCGUAGGUUUCGUCCGUUGCUGUCUCUGGAGUGCUGAUAAUGUCUUCACCAUGUUGCCUUUAUUUGGCUUGGAUUUUUAUCUUGGAUGUACCAUUUGUCGAGUUUUAAUAAAUUUUGUCGAUUUGUAUGUGUAUUUGUUAUUUAUUACUUAUAUGUUUGUUACGUUGAACGUGAGCAGAUGUUAAUGAAUUAUGAACAGGUGAAAAUAAUAGUAAAUGGGUAAAAUGGCAUAAGUAUUUUUUUUUAAUAAAAAAGGGACUAUUCCCGGCAUUUAAUAAAUGCUGGGAUGCCGGUAUUUUUU